GACGAACGCUGGCGGCGUGCUUAACACAUGCAAGUCGAACGGAAAGGCCCUGCUUUUGUGGGGUGCUCGAGUGGCGAACGGGUGAGUAACACGUGAGUAACCUGCCCUUGACUUUGGGAUAACUUCAGGAAACUGGGGCUAAUACCGGAUAGGAGCUCCUGCUGCAUGGUGGGGGUUGGAAAGUUUCGGCGGUUGGGGAUGGACUCGCGGCUUAUCAGCUUGUUGGUGGGGUAGUGGCUUACCAAGGCUUUGACGGGUAGCCGGCCUGAGAGGGUGACCGGCCACAUUGGGGCUGAGAUACGGCCCAGACUCCUACGGGAGGCAGAAGUGGGGAAUAUUGCACAAUGGGCGGAAGCCUGAUGCAGCAACGCCGCGUGCGGGAUGACGGCCUUCGGGUUGUAAACCGCUUUCGCCUGUGACGAAGCGUGAGUGACGGUAAUGGGUAAAGAAGCACCGGCUAACUACGUG
rnacentral:rRNA from 1 species